rnacentral:rRNA from 1 species
CAAAUGAAGAAAAGCUUAUGGUGGAUACCUAGGCACCUAGAGACGAUGAAGGGCGUAGAAACCAACGAAAUGCUUCGAGGAGCUGGAAACAAGCUACGAUUCGAAGAUUCCCGAAUAGGGCAACCUUUUAAACUACCUAAUAAAUUCAUAAAUAGGAAAGAGAUAACCUAGUGAAUUGAAACAUCUUAGUAGCUAGAGGAAAAGAAAGCAAACGCGAUUCCCUUAGUAGCGGCGAGCGAAAUGGGAACAGUCUAAACCAAAACAAUUUCUGUUUUGGGGUUGUGGGA